UGACGGUCAGACACGACAGCAUGGGGAGCGAACGGGAUUAGAAACCCCGGUAGUCCAUGCCGUAAACGAUGCUAACUAGGCGCUGCGGGACUCAACCCCUGCGGUGCCGCAGCUAACGCGAUAAGUUAGCCGCCUGGGGAGUACGGCCGCAAGGCUAAAACUCAAAGGAAUUGACGAGGGCCCGCACAAGCAGCGGAGCGUGUGGUUUAAUUCGAGGCUACACGAAGAACCUUACCUGGGUUUGACAUGCAGGUGGUAGGGAUGCGAAAGCAAACCGACCUUCGGGAGCCUGCACAGGUGCUGCAUGGCUGUCGUCAGCUCGUGCCGUGAGGUGUUAGGUUAAGUCCUGUAACGAGCGCAACCCCCGGAGUCAGUUACACGCAGUCUGGCUCAACUGCCCGUGACAAGCGGGAGGAAGGUGGGGAUGACGUCAAGUCAGCAUGGCCUUUAUAUCCAGGGCUACACACACGCUACAAUGGUCGGUACAAUGGGAAGCCAAGCCGUAAGGCGGAGCAAAUCCUAGCAAAGCCGGUCACAGUUCGGAUUGUGGGCUGCAACUCGCCCACAUGAAGUUGGAGUUGCUAGUAACCGCGCGUCAGCUAUAGUGCGGUGAAUACGUUCCCGGGCCUUGUACACACCGCCCGUA
rnacentral:rRNA from 1 species